UACGGAGGGUGCAAGCGUUAUCCGGAUUCACUGGGUUUAAAGGGAGCGUAGGCGGCCCUGUAAGUCAGUGGUGAAAUCUCGCAGCUUAACUGCGAAAUUGCCAUUGAUACUGCAGGCUUGAGUACAGUUGCUGUGGGCGGAAUAUGACAUGUAGUGGUGAAAUACAUAGAGAUGUCAUAGAACACCGAUUGCGAAGGCAGCUCACAAAACUGUAACUGACGCCGAGGCUCGAAAGUGCGGGGAUCAAACAGG
rnacentral:rRNA from 1 species